rnacentral:rRNA from 1 species
AACGAACGCUGGCGGCAUGCCUAACACAUGCAAGUCGAACGAGACCUUCGGGUCUAGUGGCGCACGGGUGCGUAACGCGUGGUAACCUGCCCUUAGGUUCGGAAUAACUCCCCGAAAGGGGUGCUAAUACCGGAUAAUGUCUUCGGACCAAAGAUUUAUCGCCUUUGGAUGGGCCCGCGUUGGAUUAGCUAGUUGGUAGGGUAAAAGCCUACCAAGGCGACGAUCCAUAGCUGGUCUGAGAGGAUGAUCAGCCACACUGGGACUGAGACACGGCCCAGACUCCUACGAGAGGCAGCAGUGGGGAAUAUUGGACAACGGGCGCAAGCCUGAUCCAGCAAUGCCGCGUGAGUGAUGAAGGCCUUAGGGUUGUAAAGCUCUUUUACCCGGGAUGAUAAUGACAGUACCGUGAGAAUAAGCUCCGGCUAACUCCGUG